GCACAAGCCGUGGAGUAUGUGGUUUAAUUCGAUGCAAGCGAAGAACCUUACCUAGGUUUUGACAUCCGGAAGACCUUCCCGAAAAGGAAGGGUGCCCUUCGGGGAAUUCCGAGACAGGUGCUGCAUGGCUGUCGUCAGCUCGUGCCGUUGAGGUGUUGGGUUAAGUCCCGCAACCGAGCGCAACCCCUAUUGCCAGUUGCUACCAGGUAAUGCUGGGCACUCUGGUGAGACUGCCCGUUAACGGGGAGGAAGGUGGGGACGACGUCAAGUCAUCAUGGCCCUUACGCCUAGGGCUACACACGUACUACAAUGGCGCAUACAAAGGGCAGCGAUACCGCGAGGUGGAGCCAAUCCCAAAAAGUGCGUCCCAGUCCGGAUUGCAGUCUGCAACUCGACUGCAUGAAGUUGGAAUCGCUAGUAAUUCGAGAUCAGCAUGCUCGGGUGAAUGCGUUCCCGGGCCUU
rnacentral:rRNA from 1 species